rnacentral:misc_RNA from 1 species
AACUUUUUGCAAUGUAUCACUUGGCUCUCGCAUCGAUUAAGAACGCAGCGAAAUGCGAUACGUAAUGUGAAUUGCAGAAUUCAGUGAAUCAUCGAAUCUUUGAACGCACCUUGCGCCCCUUGGAAUUCCGAGGGGCACACCCGUUUGAGUGUCGUGAACAUCCUUCAACCUUUCUUGGUUUCUUGACCGGGGAAGGCUUGGACUUUGGGGGUCUUUCAUUGCUGGCCUCUUUGAAGCCAGCUCCUCCUAAAUGGAUUAGUGUGGUCUGCUUUGCCGAUCCUUGACGUGAUAAGAUGUUUCUACGUCUUGGGUUUCGCACUGUCGCUUUAGACCCCGCUUCUAACCGUCUUGCAUUCAAGACAGAGUUUUAAACCUUGACCUCAAAUCGGGUGAGACUACCCGCUGAACUUAAGCAUAUCAAUAAGCGGAGGCC